rnacentral:rRNA from 1 species
UACAGAGGUCCCAAGCGUUGUUCGGAUUCACUGGGCGUAAAGGGUGCGUAGGCGGUCGGGUAAGUCUGAUGUGAAAUCUCACAGCUUAACUGUGAAACUGCAUUGGAUACUAUCCGGCUCGAGGAAUGGAGGGGAGACUGGAAUACUUGGUGUAGCAGUGAAAUGCGUAGAUAUCAAGUGGAACACCAGUGGCGAAGGCGGGUCUCUGGGCUGUUGCUGACGCUGAGGCGCGACAGCGUGGGGAGCAAACAGG